GUGAUAUAUGUAUUGAUGAUUACAUUUUUUGUUUAUGUUUCGAUACAAAAUUCGCAGGAUUGGGAUACUGGAGUGUGGGUUUCUGUGAGGGGUUAUGUUGAUAACUUCAUGAUCUGUAACUCGUCCUGAGAGGUCACCAGUAGAAUAAACAAGUUAUCAUGGAAGGUGACGUCAGAUUGUGUCUUAAUGCAUGGUAGGAAAAAUUACCACAAACAGUGUGUGUGAACCUCAAAGCCCUCCCUAACCGGCUGGAAAAAGGGCAAUAAGGGUGUGCAAUUCAACAGUGGCACUUCUGAGUCUACACACUGCCAACAGUUUGGACUAAAGUAUGCAUUGAGUUACUGAUGUUUCAUUACUAGGCCACUUAUGACAGGAAAACAGGGACCGAGGGGGCUGUGAUGAUAAGUUAUUACUUGUUUUAUUUUUAUAAAUGUACAUUUUAAUAGGGAUGAUGUGUGCUAAAUUGAGAAGUUUGAAUGUGAGUUAUAGUAAGCACUAAGGACUGUUAUUCUAAAUUUGGGUUGGAUCAUUUAUAAAAUGUUUUAGUUAUGUUUUGGAUAUAGAACUGUUUAGAUUUAUUAGGUCUAUGGAAGCCCUGGAAACCUUAUCUUGUGUAUUCUCAGGUGAAAACAGAGAUAACCAAAGGCUGAAUUCCGGAGAUUGAGUGAACAUCCAGAUACACCAGGAGGGGGUGUUGGGAUAGAUUUGGUCUGGUCCACACACGGUACUCCUUACAGCAGUGGUAAAGAUCGUCAUGUCUCUCUUCGGUGGGUGCAUAAUUCUCACAAGAAGUAAGGUCCAGCUACAUAAUGGGUGAGCUUAAAAACACCAUGACAGAGGAAGCGGAGCUGAAGAGAGAGAGAUACUAGAGUCCACUGUAGACAUACAUGCAGAUGGGUUAAGUCUAGGAGAUACUUGUUCUAUUGGUUAAUGCAUCAUAUGAAAAGGAUAGAUGUUAGGGUAAUUGUACUCUAAACAACAUGUUGAAGGGAUUAAUGUGAAAGCAUAUACAGUGCUGAGUUACCUCAAGAGGAUGUAACGUUGAUAAGGGAUACGCACUUGCCUAUCAGGUGAUGUGCCUAUUAAGUGGCAAUAAAAAAGUUAAAAUGACAUGGCUUGGGAACACCUCUCAGAACCUGGGGCCGAAAGGGGAAGACUGGGCGAAAGCAUGAGGAAGCUUGUUUAGGGCUUUUAUUUUUGUGGAGUCCAGCAGAAAAGUAUCCUGGAUGCAUAGAAUUGUCAUGGUCUCAGACUUCGGGUUUCAUGAAUAUACUUAUGCAUAAAUUACUGUUAUGUUUUGUGUUUUUCAUUGCUUUGCAAGUCUUAUGCUCUUUCACUCUCUUAGGAACCAGCAGGAGAAAGUGGAAAAACUAAAAGCAGCUCAGCUGAAGUGAAGGAAGUCACCAGCUUCAGCUGGAAUAGCAUUUUGUUGUGUGAUUUCGAGAUAGAAAUAAGAUGGUGUAAUCAUAGAACAGAGGCCAUAAGUCUCUGAGUUUGAAAACCUCAUGGAAACAGCCUGAACCAGGACCAGAGGUUCCACGUCCGGUGAUCCCAGGGGACCAGGACUACAUCCGAGUGUUCCGGAGGAAGUGGAACAAGCCAAGGCGAGAGGGUCCCUACGGAGCGGGGAGGAGGCGGCUAUCACCGAGCCAUGAGGAUGCUGAUACACCAGGCGGGUGUCCGAAGGGAACGGGAGCAGAGGAGGUCGACGAGCCAGGAAGGAGCUAGGAAGAAGCCGAAGGAGAGGCGGAUAAAGGAGCAUCUUCUGAAUAUCCAGAGUCCAGGGAUAGGGAGGAGUGACAUGCCUGUUGCUCCUGAUGACAUAUCUACUCUGGCAGAUACCCCUGAUGGAGGCACUGUCCAAGGGGACGAAGAAACAACGACAGGAGAAUGGGAAGGAGACUUUCUUACCAUCGACUUCUCUGCCAUCACAUGGUCUUUCUAACAGAGUGAAAACCAGGACAGAUGAAGAACGGUAGAAUGGCCUUGACAGCAACAUCGACCAACCUAGAAGAAAUUGUAAACUCACCUCCCACAUGCACUAGUACACCAACUAAGACAAUGACAAAACCACAAGAAAGUGGGUUGAUGCAGAAAAUCUGGACAUCUUUUACCAACUGGUGUAGCCAUAAUGAAAACUACCCCAGAACCAAACAUUGACCAAACAACAUUUAGAAAAGCAAUAACAAAUGGCUGGUAUAAGGGGGCUCAGCGGGGCCAGAAAAAAGUAUACACAUAGUAUAACCAUGUACUCAAUGUAACAGUUGCUGAAUGAUAAAUGCUGUUAGACCUUCUGAAUAUCGUUUCACCUAGACAUGUAUGUGACAUAGGGUUUGUUCUCAAUCUUCUAACAGGUUUUUCACUGUCAAAAAUAGAUAUUAGAGAGGUGUCUGUGAGGAAGGGCAAUAUGUUUAGGUAUCAUAUUGAGAAUGACAAUAUAAGGGUUUAGGAUGUUUAUUGAUUUUGUUUACUAUUUUUCUUGUAUUCAACUGAGAUAAUCUCAGGUAAGGCUAAGAAAUGCACAUGCUUUAACACUAUAUGUUCUGGCUCACCAGUGUAUAUGGGAAAGUGGAGCUCAGAUUGUUCAAAUGGAUGUGAGGUUGAUUAUCUCCAUAGAGUUUCAUUAGGUGCUCCCAUUCUCAUCUAUACUGGAAAAUGUAAUUGUGUGAAACUCUGUGAGUUUCAAGGGGGGGAUUAUGUUGGAGAUUUUCCAGUCAUCUGAUGAUUUUCAGUAACCUAUACUGUUCUCUUUGAAGUAGAAAGAAUAAUCAAUAUAAGCUUAAAUAUUAGACAUAUGUAAGCAGAAUGAAGGCUAAACCUAUGUGAGUGUCCAAGCUAGAUCAACAUCGAAUUGACCAUUGGACAUGUAAAGAACAGAACGUAAGCAGAAUCUGUGUAGAUGAGGCAAGGUAAACUAACAAGAC